UUUGUUUUGUUUUGUUUUGUUUUUUUGAACUUGCAGAGCCUUCUGACAUUUUAAGUAGAAGGUUGCAAAUGCUUGUCUUAAUGCUUGGCAUGUCCCAGAAAAAGAUCCUCACCUUGCCACAUCCUAUAAAUAUUUCCUGUGUACAUGGGGAUCACUAAGCGCAUGUGCACGCGCACAUACACUUGCAUGCGCACACGCACCAUCCAGGAUUCUUCUGAGGAUGAAUGAAUAUUCCUGUGCCAAAUAUUGCAUGAGAAUUUGGGCAGUCCUUUGGCAGGUUGAACAAUGCUUAUAUUUAUGCUCUCUGGCUAGAUCAUUGCUUGACCUUCCUGUUCUCGGUGAAGGGCAUUGUUUUCUAAUCAAGAUAAUUUAGCUACCCUUGGGGUGAUAUUUAACACUACAAUUGCCUGAAAAGUGCCAUGUUUUCUUAAGGAAUCUUUUUCCAGCAUCUAGAAAUUUAGGCAAAGUUGAAAGAAGGGACAAGAAGAAACAUUUACGGUACAUCUGUUUUCUGAUUUUGUAUGUCAUUUGAGUUUUACACAAAUUUUCUUAGGUUAGUAUUAUAUCCAUUGGACUGACAAGGAAACCAAUGCUCUAGUUAGUUGAGGACCUUGAAAUUCAUUAAUAACAGAGCUCUCUUAUUGUCAAGCCUGUGUUGUUUCCCCUAAACCAAGUUGCUUUCCUAAAGAGAGUUUAAAAUUUUGAAAAUAAACAAAGAGGAUGGUCAUUUAUUGCUUAUGUUUCUAGAAGUUGAUACAUAAAGUCUUAUGUAAUUACUACAAGAAUCCACCUUCCUCUUCUUCCUGCUUUUCAAGAUUACAUCACCACUUAUAUUUAGUAUUUACAUUGUAAUUGCCGAUGAAAAUGUUGCUUGCUGCUGAGCCCAUCAUUGCACUACAGUUGCUGUUGUACCGUACUGUAAUGAACAAUCCUUCAUUUGUUUUUUCUGGAGUUUAUGAUCGCUUUAGACUUUUAUCUCUCUUGUUUUCUCUAAACCUACUAUCCUAUUCAUUCAAUUUCUCUGUCAUAUGCCUAUCCAUAAACUUAAACCUACAUCAAUUUCAUUUUGUUUUUCAUGGCGAUGUCUCUUUCCCUCAUCUCCACUGAUGCCCUCCAUCUUCUGUGUCGAUUUCAAUGAGACGCUUUCUGAGUUUACUGUUGGAGCUGUGGCCUUGUUACUUUCUUUAUUCCUUGUUUUGGGACUUCACUUUCCAGCUAUCCUGCUUCCAGAUCUUAUAUCUUCCCCCUCCUUGUUUUUCCUCUAUGUAUAACAUAUUCUCCAGGAGCUUCCAAAUAAGAAUGCUUAUGAAAUAAAUGGUUAGAUCUUGCUUAUCUGAAAACAUCUUUAUUACACCUUCACACUUAGAGAUUGAAAGUCAUUUCCUCGUAGAAUUUUGAAGAUUUUUGCUCUUCUGUCACUUUUUUUUUUUUACACUGUGGUUUUUGAGAAGUCCAAUGACAUUCUUAUUCCCAAUCCUUAUAUUUAAUUUGUUUCUCUUUUGGAUGGUCUUUUAUCCCAAAUGUUCUAAUAUUUAAUAAUGAUGUAUAUAUUUUAUCUUCUUGUUGUUUUAGGCAUUUAGUGCACCUAAAGGGGUGCAUGGGGGGAGUUUUCUUGUCUUGUUUCUCUGAUAACUUCCUUCACUUCAUUUUGUCUCUAAUAUUUCACUUUCAGGGAUUUGUAUGAAUUUGACAUUGGAUCUUCUGUACUGAUCUUUUCUCUCCUGUUUUUCUAAACUAUCUUCUGGUUUUCAGUUUCUUGGAACUUUUCUCAAUUAUCUUUCAUCGCUCUCCUGGUAUUUUAAUUUUAGGUAUCCUACUUUUAAGUUCUAAGAGUACUAAAAAAAAUUUUAAUGUUUAUUUUUCAGAGAGAGAGGCAGAGUGUGAGCAGGGGAGGGGCAGAGAGAGAGGGAGACACAGAAUAUGAAGCAUGCUCCAGGCUCCCAAGUUGUCAGGACAGAGCGCAUUGCGGGGCUUGAACCCACAAAGUGUGAGAUCAUGACCUGAGCUGAAGUCAGACACCUAACUGACCAAGCCCCCCGGGCGCCCCAUCUAAGAGUACUUUUUGUUGAUGUGUUCUGAUUAUUCAUUUCAUACUGUUUCAUGCAGUAGUAAUGUUCUUAUUUAAGAGGCCAUACAUCUCUUUAACUGAAAAUUUUCCAACAAUGUUUUUUCCACUCUUUAUAUUGUCUUAAUUUUCUUUUGGUGACUUUCCCCCCCUGUUUGCUUAGGUCUCUUCCUUUCACAAUGAAGGCUUUUCUCAUUCAUUGGUGACUUCUGUUGCCCACUUAUAUUUAAGAAUGCAACAUUGGAAAGCAUACCGGAACAUCUGUGCACAGGAACAGGGCUUGUGAAUGAUUGGAGCUUAUCACAAAGUGAUUAGUGAGAAAGUUGCCUUUUCUUUUUUUUUUUUUUUAAUUUUUUUUUUUAACAUUUAUUUAUUUUUGAGACAGAGAGAGAGAGAGCAUGAACAGGGGAGGGGCGGAGAGAGAGGGAGACACAGAAUCUGAAACAGGCUCCAGGCUCCGAGCUGUCAGCACAGAGCCCGACGCGGGGCUCGAACUCACGGGCUGUGAGAUCAUGACCUGAACCGAAGUCGGACGCUUAACCGACCGAGCCACCCAGGCGCCCCAAAAGUUGCCUUUUCUAUAAGAAGCACACCCAAUAUUAGUAUCUGCUAUAUGUUUUCUAGGGCCAUUCAGUUUGCCAGUUUCCCGCCUAAGGAUCUCGAGUCUGGUUGCAGGCGUUCUAGAACAGGGAGCUGGCAGUCUCCGUUCAGCAUGUAGAUUCUUACUAAAUCCCAUUUUCAUUCCAUCUUCCCCUCCCUGCCACCCUUUGCAACCUGCUGUACCUUUGUGUGAAGCGUGAUGCUUCAUUGACUCAAUUUCCUCAGCGGUAAAAAUUCCAGUCUGUUACGGAGAUGGUGGUAAUAUAUGUCAUCUAGCUGCACAGUAACGAGGAGCCAGAUAGUAUUAACACCUUGUACAGACUUUCAACUAAUUCUCUUGUUUUUCCCAUACACGUUACUCCUUAUCUUCCAGGAAAACUUCUGCCUUUGAGUUCUGACCUUUCCUAGAUAUUUUUCAGGCAAACUUGCCCGUACCUUGUCUAUACACCUGUUUGCUGGCUCCCAAGUUAAGGUUUCCUUCAUUUUAAUUAAUCACUUGGCACUCAGAUACUUUUUGCUUUGUCUUCCACAAGACUGUUAAAAAUUCUUAUCUAUUGGCAAAUAUCCUUUUGUUUGCUGCAUUCUUAUGGGUUUAUAAGCAUUUUAAUUUUUUAUUGCCAUUUUAGUCGCAUUUCAGGAAGGGGAGUAAGUAGAAGUGUGUGAUCCAUGAGUUGCAUUCAACCAGUAUCCAGCCCGUAUUAUAAUUAUGCUACAACAGGUCCCAGGUUCUGCAGCAGUAGCUCUAGAUAGAAGAAAAGUGCCUCUUUUUUAUGAAAACAUACAGUGCAAUUUACAGCAGCUGUCUUUCCUGUACAGUUCUAUGGAAUCUGAGUCAAAAGAAUUUGGCGAUCAUUUAUUCUAACCCUCUCCCUGAUACCAAAGUUAUAUCCCUAAUAGGUGAUUUUACAAUCCUGACUCAAAUCUCUCCAAGGAUGAGGAACUUAUUUUCACAUGAAAUGGUCCAUCACAUUUUCGAGUCCUGUUGUGUCAGAGUUAGUGCUUCAAAAGUGUCUCCUGAAUUUAACUCCUGAGUUUAAGACCUGAGUCCAGUGAAUAACAGUGACUUACUAAGUAGCAUUAUAAACAGCAGGGGGUGGGAUUCCAGUCUUUCUCAGUUUAAAUAGAUGAUAUCUGAGUUUGUCAAAUGUAUCAAACUCAACUCCUUACAUAUGGCAUUGGUGUGUUUCUCAUCCACGUCUCAACACAGCCCUGUGGCGUCGACUGAAGGUACCUGAAGGCAUCAAUCUGGAUUUCACAGUAGCAAGGCUGAUUGCUUCAGUCUUACUGAAAGUUCCGUUUGUUUAAUGAGGAAUAUUUAGAGAAUAUUUACAGAGAUUUGUUUCUCAUAUGAAAACUUUCAGAAUUGAAAGAGGCUUUAUUUGCUGCAUAUUGAUCAACUCGUUGAGUGAUCAUUUCUCCUUGUUGUGGUCCACAUCAGAAAAAUGCAAUCAGCUAGAAUAAAAGCAAAAAAGAAAGGUCCUACCAGAUGUUUCUUAUCUUAUUUUUUAUGUAUAAUUUGGAACACUGGGGUAAAAGGAUCUUUGUCCAUCUUUUGACUUUGUCAUAAAAAGAACAUUUGAGGGCCCUUUGAAAUACUUUUGUUUUUAUGUUUUUUUUAUUGAGGUACAGUUGACAUGUAUUAGUUUGAGAUAUGCAACAUAAUGAUUUAAUAUUUGUAUAUAUUGUGAAAGGAUCACCAUAAAAACUCUAGUUAACAUCUGUCACCAUAGAUAGCUACAAAAUUUUUUGAUGAGAACUUUUAAGAUCUACUCACUCAGCCACUUUCAAAUAUUUAUUACAAUACUAUUAACUGUAGUCACCUCGCUAUACAUUAUAUCCUCAUGAUUUACUUUUUGGGAAAGCAGAAUUUUGUUCCUUUUGACCCCCUUUACCCAUUUGCCCACCCCCAUCUGCCGUCUCUGGCAACCACCACUCUGUUCUCUGUGUCUAUGUUUGCUUAUUUGUUCUGGGAGGGGGGUAUUUCUGCUUUUUUUAGAUUAGAAGAAGUGAUAUCAUUGGUAUUAGUCUUUUUCUUUCUUAGCAUAAUGUCCUCAAGUCCAUCCAUGUUGUCACAAAUGGUAAGACUUCCUUCUUUUCAUGGCUGAAUGAUAUUCCUGUGUGUGUGUGUGUGUGUGUGUGUGUGUGUGUGUGUGUGUGUGUGUAGACAUACCACAUUUUCUUCAUCCAGUCAUCCACUCAUGAACACUUAGGCUGCCUUCAUUUUUGGCUAUUGUACACGAGGCUUCAGUGAACACAGGGGUGCAUACAUCUUUUCAAGUUAGUAGUUUUUAAUUUCUGCAGAUAAAUACCCAGAAGGAGAAUAGCGGGAUUAUAUGGUAAUUCUAUUUUUUAAUUCUUUGAGGAGCAUCCACACUGUUUUCCACAGUAAUUGUGCCAAUUUCCAUUCUUACCAAUAGUGCCCAAGGGUUCCCUUUUCUCCAGAUCCCUGUCAACACUUGGUAUUUCUUGACUGUUUGAUACGAGCCAUUCCAACAUGUGUGAGGUGAUAUCUCAUUGUGGUUUUGAUUUUGCAUUUCCCUGGAUGUUUGGAGAUAUUGAGCACCUUUUCAUGUGCCUGUUGGUUAUCCAUGUGUCUUCUUUGGAAAAUUAUCUAUGUGGGUCCUCUGCCCAUUUUUUAUAUUGGAUUAUUAGUUGUUUGCUAUUGUGUUGUAUCGGGGAACUUUUAAAUGGAUUUUUUUUAGCAACCCCAAAUGGCCAAUGCAAGCCACUGUGUAGUUGAUCUUUUAAA